rnacentral:rRNA from 1 species
AGCUCACCAAGGCGACGAUCUGUAGCUGGUUUGAGAGAACGACCAGCCACACUGGAACUGAGACACGGUCCAGACUCCUACGGGAGGCAGCAGUGGGGAAUUUUGGACAAUGGGGGAAACCCUGAUCCAGCCAUGCCGCGUGAGUGAAGAAGGCCUUCGGGUUGUAAAGCUCUUUCGGCAGGAACGAAAUGGUUCGUGCUAAUACCACGGACUGAUGACGGUACCUGAAGAAGAAGCACCGGCUAACUACGUGCCAGCAGCCGCGGUAAUACGUAGGGUGCAGGCAUUAAUCGGAAUUACUGGGCGUAAAGCGUGCGCAGGCGGUUCGUUAAGACAGAUGUGAAAUCCCCGGGCUUAGCCUGGGAACUGCGUUUGUUACUGGCGGACUCGAGUGUGUCAGAGGGGGGUGGAAUUCCACGUGUAGCAGUGAAAUGCGUAGAGAUGUGGAGGAACACCAAUGGCGAAGGCAGCCCCCUGGGAUAACACUGACGCUCAUGCACGAAAGCGUGGGGAGCAAACAGGAUUAGAUACCCUGGUAGUCCACGCCCUAAACUAUGUCAACUGGUUGUUGGGGAAUUAACUUCCUUAGUAACGAAGCUAACGCGUGAAGUGACCGC